GGGAGGUAGUGACAAUAAAUACUGAUACAGGGCUCUUUUGGGUCUUGUAAUCGGAAUGAGUACAAUUUAAACCCCUAAUUGGAGGGCAAGUCUGGUGAACUUUCAGCUAGUUCCAUUCUGCUGACGCCAGAGAUAGUCGGGCGCUCCGGCGUUAUGCCGGCUAGUCGAGCACCCACUGAUCUGAUGGGGGGGGUGCCGGCAAGACAACCUGGAUCGGGGAAGGCUAAGGCGCAAGCUAAGCUGAUCCCGAGCAGAGCCUUCGCGGAGUGAUCCACGAUAUGGCCUGUGUAGAGCACGGUAAGGUGUCGGCUGGCUCACGUAGCCAGCUUAAGGGACGUGCCAUUCCCACCCGAAAGGGUGGCCGCCAGCAAUAGCGCCCAUCUCGCGAAGGCUGACGGGUCCAAACAGCGGUUUGGAUGCAUCUCAAAAGGCCAGCAGCCGCGGUAAUUCCAGCUCCAAUAGCGUAUAUUAAAGUUGUUGCAGUUAAAAAGCUCGUAGUUGAACCUUGGGCCUGGCUGGCCGGUCCGCCUCACCGCGUGUACUGGUCCGGCCGGGCCUUUCCUUCUGGAGAUCCUCAUGCCCUUCACUGGGUGUGUUGGGGAACCAGGACUUUUACUGUGAACAAAUUAGAGUGUUCAAAGCAGGCCUUUGCUCGAAUACAUUAGCAUGGAAUAAUAGAAUAGGACGUGCGGUCCUAUUUUGUUGGUUUCUAGGACCGCCGUAAUGAUUAAUAGGGAUAGUCGGGGGCAUCAGUAUUCAAUUGUCAGAGGUGAAAUUCUUGGAUUUAUUGAAGACUAACUACUGCGAAAGCAUUUGCCAAGGAUGUUUUCAUUAAUCAGUGAACGAAAGUUAGGGGAUCGAAGACGAUCAGAUACCGUCGUAGUCUUAACCGUAAACUAUGCCGACUAGGGAUCGGGCGAUGUUUCUAUCUUGACUCGCUCGGCACCUUACGAGAAAUCAAAGUUUU
rnacentral:rRNA from 1 species